rnacentral:rRNA from 1 species
CCUACGGGAGGCUGCAGUGGGGAAUAUUGGACAAUGGGGGGAACCCUGAUCCAGCGACGCCGCGUGAGUGAAGAAGUAUUUCGGUAUGUAAAGCUCUAUCAGCAGGGAAGAAAGAAAUGACGGUACCUGACUAAGAAGCCCCGCCUAACUACGUGCCAGCAGCCGCGGUAAUACGUAGGGGGCAAGCGUUAUCCGGAUUUACUGGGUGUAAAGGGCGCGUAGGCGGCGAUGCAAGUCUGGAGUGAAAGGCGGGGGCUCAACCCCCGGACUGGUUUGGAAACUGGAUGGCUGGAGUGCAGGAGAGGUAAGUGGAAUUCCUGGUGUAGCGGUGAAAUGCGUAGAUAUUAGGAGGAACACCAGUGGCGAAGGCGGCUUACUGGACUGUAACUGACGUUGAGGCUCGAAAGCGUGGGGAGCAAACAGGAUUAGAUACCCCAGUAGUC